ensembl:lncRNA
GGAUUAUUGGCUUCCCUGGUCCACACAGGGUCCUGGAUUGCUUGGUUGCCCCUCAUUCCUGGUCUACCCUGUGCCCCAUGGUGUUUGCAGCUUCUAUGGGCUGAAUUUAAUCAGUGAUUCACUGGAGCUGGAUCUGAACCCAAACCACAGGGAAGCCCUGGGCACUGAGGACAAUAAGAGCAACAGACAACCUCUCCUCCACUGCUUCUCUCUCUUCUCCACAAGGCAAGGCAGCUCUCACACAGGAGGCAUCCAGCCUAACUCCCAGCAGGGAGAGUGUGAGAUGUCUGUGGAUGAGCCCACAUUACAGUACGAUUCUGUGGGAAGACAUCUGGUAGCUUCUGGUGCAGCUGCAGCAGUCAGGACACAUGAACUACAGUGGAGGUUGAAGAGGCAGAGAACAACCGCAGAGGUGCCCAGUAUGUCCUCAGCCUGGACAACAAGUGUCUGCUCAAUCAUACAGACAGCUCAGGACUCUCUCACCCAGCGAAACCUGAGACUGCACACUGGUGGACCAGCUGGUUCCUCAAGAGGUUAGCUCUCUCAAUGGCAUGAAGUUCAGGUGCUACCUCUUCCUAUACUGGCCUGGUGAAGACAGAACCCUGGAGGACAUUGUGGUCUG